rnacentral:rRNA from 1 species
UACAGGGGAUGCAAGUGUUAUCCGGAUUCAUUGGGCGUAAAGCGUCUGCAGGUGGAUACUUAAGUCUUUUGUUAAAGCUUUGGGCUUAACCCAAAAUCUGCAAAAGAAACUAUUUAUCUUGAGUCUGGUAGAGGUAAAGGGAAUUUCCGGUGGAGCGGUGAAAUGCGUAGAUAUCGGAAAGAACACCAACUGCGAAGGCACUUUACUGGGCCACGACUGACACUCAGAGACGAAAGCUAAGGGAGCAAACAGG